rnacentral:rRNA from 1 species
AUGAGUUGCUUGAGCUAGAACUGCCAGGGGCUUGGGAACGCCGGGGCAGUUCGCGAGCUUCGCAAUAUUGUGAAGCAAGAAGGGCCCGACCUCCUGUUUUUUAUGGAGACGAAGAUUUCAGCGACACUAGUUGAAAGCCUACAGAACUUGCUUGGUUUCUCGGGCUGCUUCGCGGUAAGCAGUAGGGGACUGAGCGGUGGCAUUGGUAUGUUCUGGACCUCAAGUCUGGACAUGGAACUGAAAAACUAG